ACAAAUGUUACCAAAAAUACUUCAAAAUUAUAUAAUAUAAGAAUUUUUUUUUCAAAUAAUGAGGCGAAUUAAGAUAAAGUUUGACUCAAAAGCAAGGUUCUAACCAAACCAACACGAGAUGCUUCAAUGGAAUGUUAUUAAAGUUGAAGCAAGGUAAUUAUUCAUAAUUAGUUUAUAUAGCCACAAAAUUUUGAGCGGGUACUAUGAAACUUUUUGGGAAGGCUGAUCAUUUGUUCUUUUAUUAUUGUUGUUGUCAGAUCAUUGCCUUGAGUAGAUGUACCUCUCAUAUUUAAAGUAAAUAUUGUUGUUUAAGAAUUUGAAACCUUUGUUGCAAUUUGAUGUGUUGAUUGAAGCACUUCGAUUCUUUGAUCAAUAUAUGUAGUCA
rnacentral:lncRNA from 1 species